rnacentral:rRNA from 1 species
UACGGAGGGUGCAAGCGUUGUCCGGAAUUAUUGGGCGUAAAGAGCUCGUAGGCGGUUUGUUGCGUCGGCUGUGAAAUCCCGAGGCUCAACCUCGGGUCUGCAGUCGAUACGAGCAAACUAGAGUGUUGCAGGGGAGACUGGAAUUCCUGGUGUAGCGGUGAAAUGCGCAGAUAUCAGGAGGAACACCCGAUGGCGAAGGCA